GAUGAACGCUGGCGGCGUGCUUAACACAUGCAAGUCGAGCGGUAAGGCCCUUUCGGGGGUACACGAGCGGCGAACGGGUGAGUAACACGUGGGUGACCUGCCCUCAGCUCUGGGAUAAGCCUGGGAAACUGGGUCUAAUACUGGAUAUGACUCCACGGUGCAUGUCGUGGGGUGGAAAGCCUUGUGCGGCUGAGGAUGGGCCCGCGGCCUAUCAGCUUGUUGGGGGGUGAUGGCCUACCAAGGCGACGACGGGUAGCCGGCCUGAGAGGGCGACUGGCCACACUGGGACUGAGACACGGCCCAGACUCCUACGGGAGGCAGCAGUGGGGAAUCUUGCGCAAUGGGCGAAAGCCUGACGCAGCGACGCCGCGUGAGGGAU
rnacentral:rRNA from 1 species